AAGGGUGUAGCUCAAUGGUAAAGUGUGUGCUUGGCAUGCACAAGGUCCUGGGUUCAAUUCCUAGAACCUCCA
rfam:Camelus ferus unplaced genomic scaffold scaffold757, whole genome shotgun sequence.